rnacentral:misc_RNA from 1 species
GGUUGUGAGAAGAAGUCCUGCAGUGAUAUUGGCAACGGAAGAAAAAGAGCAAGGACUUACCUUGAAGCAACUGCCCAAGCUGAGCUGUUUCAAACAACUGAUAUAAAUUCAGUUAAGAAAAAGAGUAAAACAUCCGCUGAAUCAGAGUCUGAAACGGUCACACACAAGACAAAUACCGCCAACUUUAAAACAUCUGCUGAA